UGGGGUAUCUGGGUCACUAUUUUGUGUGAUCUGGUUUCCAUAUGUGUGCAUUGAGUUGUGUCUUCAUUCUUGGUAUUAAUUUAAAAAUGUUUUAAGUGGAUGUUGGACUCAUCAAGGAUGUGUCCUGUCUCCUUGUGCUUAUCAUGGAGACGAUAUCAAGAUACAGCUAAUGUUGGAGAGGUGUAAAGUAUGGGGGUUAGAAGUAACAUCCCUGUUAUUUGUAGAUGAUGUGUGGUGUAGCUCCCUGCAUAAGACCAUUGACCACACCCACAUCUGCUGGAUUCUUCUUCCUGCCAAAGAAAAUGGCCUUCAGCCAUGUUUGGAUUGCAGGUGCUUGAAACAAGUAAAGUACUGGUACUUAUGAUCCUUUGUCCCUUCAUCUUUUGACUGAAUAAGAAAUUUCAGUGACUAAGGAAUUCACCAAGCUUGAUCUUAAGAGUGCCUACAACCAGCAAUGCAUUCAGGAGGCGGGUCAGGUCAGCAGCUUUAUAUUCGAUCAAAAUGGAAGAGCAGUGGCUACAAGAAAAUCGACUGGAAAUCGAUUAUGACCAGUUGAAGUCAUGGGGCUUGAAGUUGCAUCAGGAACGCAAUCGACAACAGACUAAGCUGCUGUGCGGAUCUGGUGCUACACCGUGUUCCCUAGACUGACAGGCCAGCAGCCCAGCACAGACCUUACACACACGCCAGAUGUGACACACUCAUUUUCCCCCAGUAACAUGUUGGCCAUUUUUAAAUAGUGGGAAAGCUAGCAAGCAUUAUGUCUCAGAGACAUCACUAUAGUGAGAUAAAUUCACCUGUACUAAAAAAAAAAAUCACAUUUAAUUUUUUUUUAACACUAACAGAUAACAAAUCAAUGUUGAGUCAAUGUUUCCGAUAUUACUUAAAUGAUUAUUUAUUAGAUUUAUUAGAAGGGUCAACAGCAGGACUUAACAGAGCCUUCAUGGACAAGUAUUAUUGCAAGUCUUUCAGAUUUAAUAUUACAGAUAAUUAAUAUUAUUAAUUACUAUUUCUUUAUAUUUAUUUCCUAUGAUGUGUUGUAAUGCUAGGAGCUGACUGCUUUUGUACAUGGUAUAAUGUUUGGAUAUUAUUUGGAUGUGAUCUGUAUGUGUGGUGACAGUUGACUUCUCAUCUGAUGAAACUUUUUUUCUUUUUUUUUUUCACAUUCCAUGGUAAUGUAUGUUUAUUGCCAUAUGACACAUAACAACAACAACAACAACAACAACAAUCAUCAACAUCAUCAUCACAAAAAUCCACUCUACAAAUAAAAUUGAACUAAAUGGGCUUAAUGUGUA